GGUGGGGUGAUGGCCUACCAAGGCGACGACGGGUAACCGGCCUGAGAGGGCGACCGGUCACACUGGGACUGAGACACGGCCCAGACUCCUACGGGAGGCAGCAGUGGGGAAUAUUGCGCAAUGGGCGGAAGCCUGACGCAGCGACGCCGCGUGGGGGAUGACGGCCUUCGGGUUGUAAACCCCUUUCAGCAUCGACGAAGCUCCAUCCUUGCAGGGUGGGGUGACGGUAGGUGCAGAAGAAGCGCCGGCUAACUACGUGCCAGCAGCCGCGGUAAUACGUAGGGCGCGAGCGUUGUCCGGAAUUAUUGGGCGUAAAGAGCUCGUAGGCGGUCUGUCGCGUCUGUCGUGAAAGCCCACGGCUUAACUGUGGGUCUGCGGUGGAUACGGGCAGGCUAGAGGCAGGUAGGGGAGCAUGGAAUUCCCGGUGUAGCGGUGAAAUGCGCAGAUAUCGGGAGGAACACCGGUGGCGAAGGCGGUGCUCUGGGCCUGUUCUGACGCUGAGGAGCGAAAGCGUGGGGAGCGAGCAGGAUUAGAUACCCUGGUAGUCCACGCCGUAAACGUUGGGCGCUAGGUGUGGGGUUCUUCCACGGAUUCCGCGCCGUAGCUAACGCAUUAAGCGCCCCGC
rnacentral:rRNA from 1 species